rnacentral:lncRNA from 1 species
UUCGACAGAGUCAGCUCCUAAAGCACUGGGGUCACCCUCAAAUGGAUUGUUUUUCUAUACUCUUUGUCUCUUUCCCUAGACUAUUCUAGGAUCAACUUACUUGAAAUUGGGAUGGACUUAUCUCUAUUUAGAGUCGACUCGUUGAUCGUUGUCGUAGGCAGUUAAGAAUAAAAACUAACUCAAACUAUAUAGAUAGGGUGAGUAGGGAUCAUUUUCACGG